UUUUUUUUUAUUUUUUUUUUUUUUAUUCUUCUCGCGCGACGCGGGGGCGUGCUUAACACAUGCAAGUCGAACGAUGACGACCGAGCUUGCUCGGUCUGAUUAGUGGCGAACGGGUGAGUAACACGUGAGCAACCUGCCCUUCACUCUGGGAUAACCUCGGGAAAUCGGGGCUAAUACCGGAUAUGAGCUCCUGUCGCAUGGCGGGUGUUGGAAAGUUUUUCGGUGAAGGAUGGGCUCGCGGCCUAUCAGUUUGUUGGUGAGGUAGUGGCUCACCAAGGCGAUGACGGGUAGCCGGCCUGAGAGGGCGACCGGCCACACUGGGACUGAGACACGGCCCAGACUCCUACGGGAGGCAGCAGUGGGGAAUAUUGCACAAUGGGCGAAAGCCUGAUGCAGCGACGCCGCGUGAGGGAUGACGGCCUUCGGGUUGUAAACCUCUUUCAGCAGGGAAGAAGCGAAAGUGACGGUACCUGCAGAAGAAGCGCCGGCUAACUACGUGCCAGCAGCCGCGGUAAUACGUAGGGCGCAAGCGUUGUCCGGAAUUAUUGGGCGUAAAGAGCUUGUAGGUGGCUUGUCGCGUCUGCCGUGAAAACCCGAGGCUCAACCUCGGGCGUGCGGUGGGUACGGGCAGGCUAGAGUGUGGUAGGGGGAGACUGGAACUCCUGGUGUAGCGGUGAAAUGCGCAGAUAUCAGGAAGAACACCGAUGGCGAAGGCAGGUCUCUGGGCCAUUACUGACACUGAGAAGCGAAAGCAUGGGGAGCGAACAGGAUUAGAUACCCUGGUAGUCCAUGCCGUAAACGUUGGGCACUAGAUGUGGGGAACAUUCCACGUUUUCCGCGUCGUAGCUAACGCAUUAAGUGCCCCGCCUGGGGAGUACGGCCGCAAGGCUAAAACUCAAAGGAAUUGACGGGGGCCCGCACAAGCGGCGGAGCAUGCGGAUUAAUUCGAUGCAACGCGAAGAACCUUACCAAGGCUUGACAUGCACCGGACGACUCCAGAGAUGGGGUUUUUCUUCGGACUGGUGCACAGUGUGGUGCAUGGUUGUCGUCAGCUCCUGUCCUGAGAUGUUGGUUAAUCCGCGAGGCGAAAAAAAAAAAAAAAAAAAAA
rnacentral:rRNA from 1 species